GUUCGGAUUGCAGGCUGCAACUCGCCUGUAUGAAGUCGGAAUUGCUAGUAAUCGCGGAUCAGCAUGCCGCGGUGAAUACGUUCCCGGGCCUUGUACACACCGCCCGUCACACCAUGAGAGCCGGGAACACCCGAAGUCCGUAGUCUAACCGCAAGGAGGACGCGGCCGAAGGUGGGUUUGGUAAUUGGGGGUGAAGUCGUAACAAGGUAAC
rnacentral:rRNA from 1 species